AUCCAGCCGAGGAGUCCUAAAUAGGACGACGAAUCAUGCGUCCUGGAU
rnacentral:hammerhead_ribozyme from 1 species